GUGCUUCAGCAGCACAUAUACUUAAAUUGGAAUGAUACAGAAAAGAUUUGCAUGGUCCCUGCACAAGGAUGAUUUGCAAAUUCCUGAUGCGUUCCAUAUUUUU